CAACUCGUUUCAAUUCUUCCUCAGAUGAUCUCCACAUUAGUAUGGUAGUCUAGCGCAGCUUCGCAAAACCCAGCCAAAAAUAUUAAACCAUACUCGAAAGAGUAAUUUAAUGUAGAUUUAUCCUCUUGACAAAGUUAGGUGCCAGCAGUCGCGGUUAAACCUUAAAGAGAUAUGAGAAAAUUGGAUUUGGUGUCUUCAACAACAUAAGGAAAAUUAGUGAAAUGAUUUUCUUGUGAUUGUCUUUUUUGAAGAAAAAACCACAAAGGAAAAGAGAAACUAGGAUUAGAUACCCUACUAUCUGCCGACAAAACUUAAAUCUAAGGACUAAGGUUUGAAAACUAAAACUUAAAAGACAUGGCGGCGAACUUUAUUUUCAGGGGAACUUACCAGAUAAUAGAUAACCCGCAAGAGCCCCUACUUUUUCUAAAAAUUUAUAUGUCGCCGUUUAGUAACCUUUUUAGAAAGUUACAGUUUGUUAUAAAACAAGAAAACAGGUCAUGAUAUAGUCUAUGAAAAAGGCAUAAGGUGAGUUACAAUAAAUAUCUUUUUCGGACAAAAAUUUAACGAAUAUUUUAAGAUGGACUUGAAAGUAAUUUUCAACGAAAAUAAUAAAUGAAUACAGAAGAAGUACGUGCACAAAUCGCCCGUCACUCUCGUUAACUUUAUACGAGAUAAGUCGUAACAUAGUAGGGGUACCCGAAGGUGCCCCUUUUUCAGUAGUGAGGAAUCACGUGUCUACCUUGAGACAUAAAGCGCUUAGCCUGAAUAGCUGGGAA
rnacentral:rRNA from 1 species